UACGUAGGGUGCAAGCGUUAAUCGGAAUUACUGGGCGUAAAGCGUGCGCAGGCGGUGAUGUAAGACAGGUGUGAAAUCCCCGGGCUUAACCUGGGAACUGCGUUUCUAACUGGCAGGCUUGAGUGUGGCAGAGGGGGGUGGAAUUCCACGUGUAGCAGUGAAAUGCGUAGAGAUGUGGAGGAACACCGAUGGCGAAGGCAGCCCCCUGGGCUAACACUGACGCUCAUGCACGAAAGCGUGGGGAGCAA
rnacentral:rRNA from 1 species